AAAUUCAUUAAAAAAGGAUUAUUCAAACCUGGGAUGAAAAUUGAAUUCAAAAGUGGUGAGUAUGAUAGCAUUUAAAGCGUUGUCGCUGUCUGAAUUUGUUCUUCACCGCCUGUGUUCAUUUGUGAACUCAGUUAACGUGUCAUUUACUACUUGUCAAAAAUUUUCUUAAUUACGCCUUCAUUGUCAUCUUCUUCUUGGACCCAGUAUUCGUAUUUCAUGUAAACCCAUUCAAUAUUUAUGGCAUUUAAGGAUAAAAGCUGCAAAGUGUUGAAUUCUUAAUUUACAGACUGUUAGUACAUUUAGGAGUUUGAUGGAGUAAAAGAGAAAAAAAGAUAUUGUAAACGGAGAAGUGUGUGAAUGGGGGAGAAGAAGAAAGAUAUGCCAACAGUUUGGUUUUCAUUGAAGAAAUCCUUGCACUGUAAAUCAGAGCCAUCAGAUGUGUAUGAUCCAAAGACCAGGAAGCAGUUGACUGCAAUUUUGACUAGAAAAUCAGGCAGGUCUGGUUGUUCAAGGUCUAUAGCAAAUCUGAAAGAUGUUAUUCAUGGGAGCAAGAGGCACCUGGAAAAGCCCCCUAGUUGUAGUCCAAGAUCCAUAGGGAGUAGUGAAUUUCUCAACCCAAUAACCCAUGAAGUGAUUUUGAGUAACUCAACAUGUGAACUCAAAAUCACUGGUUUUGGUGGGUUGCAAGAAGGUGGGCUUCACGGCGGCGGCGGAGGUGCUGGCUCAACAUUUGUGGGAACUUUAAGACCUGGUACUCCUGGCCCUGGAGGGCACCCUACAAUGCAUUACUUCAAUCCUUCCUACAGAAAUACUGCAACUCCUCCUAGGAAGACAUCUCUUUUGGAGGGCAUUGGGAAUGGAAAUUCUGCAAAUUUUGGGGGGACUAAUGGUUUGCCCCUAAAAUCAAGGGCUCCCCUUGAUAAAGAUGCUAAUGGGUCUUCUUCUAUUGCAUGCCACAAAUGUGGAGAGCAGUUUGGAAAGUGGGAAGCUCUUGAAUCACAUCAUCUUUCAAAGCAUGCUGUGACUGAACUUUUGGAGGGUGACUCGUCCAGGAAAAUUGUUGAAAUCAUCUGCCGAUCAAGCUGGCUGAAGUCAGACAACCACUGUGUUAGAAUUGAAAGGGUAUUGAAAGUACACAACAUGCAGAAAACACUGGCUCGAUUUGAGGAAUACAGGGAGACGGUGAAAGUAAAGGCCAGUAAGCUUCCUAAGAAACACCCUCGAUGCCUAGCUGAUGGAAAUGAACUUCUAAGGUUCUACGGAACUACUUUAUCAUGCUGCCUUGGCAUGAAUGGAUCCUCCAGUCUUUGCAUAGCUGAAAACAGAUGCUGUGUUUGUAGAAUUAUAAGACAGGGCUUUUCGACCAAGAAGGAACUGAAAGGUGGAAUAGGAGUUUUCACAACUUCAACCAGUGGAAGAGCUUUUGAAUCUAUAGAAAUCCAUAAAGAGGAUAUACCUGUAAGAAAAGCUUUAAUAGUAUGCAGAGUUAUUGCAGGGAGGGUGCAUCGGCCUCUGGAGAAUAUUCAAGAAAUUGCUGGCCAGACAGGAUUUGAUUCAUUAGCUGGUAAAGUUGGUCUUUAUUCAAACAUUGAGGAGCUUUAUUUGCUUAACCCUAGAGCCCUUCUUCCUUGUUUCGUGGUGAUAUGCAAACCUUGAAGGCCAAAUAUGGAAAAUGUUCAAAUUGUCAUCUUGAUGGAUUUUGCAUAAGGUACAAACUAGAGAACGGGAAUGAAGAAAGAAACAAGUCAUAGUCAUUUGUCUUAUGCCCUUUGUCCGGGCAUUGAUUUCUUUGUCUUACUAUCUCUGGUUGAAUUUUUUAUUUUUUCUGUCUGAAAAUAAUCUUCUGUUGCCAGUUUUAUUUUCAUAGAGCAAGUAGAUUCUCAUCUUAGGAUCAUGAAUUUCUAGGCUAUAGAUAAGGUUAGGAAUUUCUGUAUUCAUUUGACAUUCGCCCUAGUAUUUACCCUUCUUAGGCCACGUGACUUGGUCUAAGACAUGGG